rnacentral:rRNA from 1 species
UACAGAGGGUGCGAGCGUUAAUCGGAAUUACUGGGCGUAAAGGGCGCGUAGGCGGUUUGAUAAGUUAGGUGUGAAAUCCCUGGGCUUAACCUAGGAAUGGCACUUGAUACUGUUGAGCUAGAGUAGAGUAGAGGGAAGUGGAAUUUCCGGUGUAGCGGUGAAAUGCGUAGAUAUCGGAAAGAACACCCGUGGCUAAGGCGGCUCUCUAGUACGGUACUGACGCUGAGACGCGAAAGCGUGGGGAGCGAACAGG